UAUGUCUACCACGUUUACUGUCCUAUGGCUU
rnacentral:piRNA from 1 species